GAGGGUAUAGCUCAGUGGUAGAGUGCAUGCUUCAGCAUGCAUGAGGUUGGGGGUUCAAUUCCCAGUACCCCCA
rnacentral:tRNA from 1 species